rnacentral:lncRNA from 1 species
UUUCUCGAGGAGCUCUCCUGGGCGGCUGAAGAAGGAGCUUCUUCUCCGGAGUGCGCCGGCGGUGGCGCCUGCGGACCUAACUAGCUCCAGGUUAGGCCGAGCUUUGCGGGAAAGCAGCGGACUUGAAAAUACUGGAAAUCUGUCCGGAUCCAAAUUAUUUUGCAAGCCAGAUGAGUAACCAGAGGGCAUGAAAGGUUGAGAACAUUUGACUUCCCUGCAAACCUUGGUAUAGAUCACUUCCUUUUCUGUAGGAAAGGAAAGGCACCAAAGAGCACAAUGAGUACAUAGAGAUGGGGUUUCUACGUGUUAGCCAGGAUGGUCUCGAUCUUCUGACCUUGUGAUCCGCCCGCCUCAGCCUCCCAAAGUGCUGGGAUUACAGGCAUGCGCCACCACACCUGGCCAGAACUUUUGAAAAGAGGCAAAGGCAGAGGAGAAUAAAGGAAGGAGGAAGUAACUUGUGGAAUGCUGAAAAAGAGAAAGCGUCGUGGUGGAGCAAUAAAUUCUAGACAAGCUCAGAAGCGAACUCGGGAAGCAACCUCCACCCCCG